UUCCAGCUCCAAUAGCGUAUAUUAAAGUUGUUGCGGUUAAAAAGCUCGUAGUUGAAUUUGUGUUCCGCACUGUCGGUUCACCGCCCGCGGUGCUAACUGGCAUGUUUGCGGAACGUCCUGCCGGUGGAUGUUCAGUAAGUGAUUUCGGUCAUUUACACAUCCGACUUAUAAAUCCUGUCGCGGUGCUCUUAACUGAGUGUCGAGGCGGGCCGGCACGUUUACUUUGAACAAAUUAGAGUGCUCAAAGCAGGCUAACUAAUGCCUGAAUAAUUAGUGCAUGGAAUAAUGAAACAGGACCUUGGUUCUAUUUUGUUGGUUUUCGGAACCCCAAGGUAAUGAUUAAUAGGGACAGAUGG
rnacentral:rRNA from 2 species